GUGGGGAAUUUUGGACAAUGGGCGCAAGCCUGAUCCAGCAAUGCCGCGUGCAGGAAGAAGGCCUUCGGGUUGUAAACUGCUUUUGUACGGAACGAAACGGUCCGGGUUAAUACCCUGGGCUAAUGACGGUACCGUAAGAAUAAGCACCGGCUAACUACGUGCCAGCAGCUGCGGUAAUACGUAGGGUGCAAGCGUUAAUCGGAAUUACUGGGCGUAAAGCGUGCGCAGGCGGUUUUGUAAGACAGGCGUGAAAUCCCCGGGCUCAACCUGGGAAUUGCGCUUGUGACUGCAAGGCUGGAGUGCGGCAGAGGGGGAUGGAAUUCCGCGUGUAGCAGUGAAAUGCGUAGAUAUGCGGAGGAACACCGAUGGCGAAGGCAAUCCCCUGGGCCUGCACUGACGCUCAUGCACGAAAGCGUGGGGAGCAAACAGGAUUAGAUACCCGGGUAGUCC
rnacentral:rRNA from 1 species